rnacentral:lncRNA from 1 species
UUCAACUUAAAUGCCACUCUAUGUAGUUUCUUGCUAGUACAUGUAAUAGUGAAGCUGCAUGCAUGGUAUUAAAGAGCAAACAUAUCCAGACACGUCGUUGAAUUUCAGCACUUUGAGUUUGAAGAUGUGGAAAUUUAACAAAUCGUACUGGCAGGGCCAGAGCUACGGAUUGCAAAGGGGUUCAUCCGAAUCUCCUUUAUCGAAAGAUUACUCAGUAAUCAGUAUAUAUAAGGAUAU